CACCUCAUCCGCUUCUCUAUAGUCCUCUACUCUCGUAACCUUCUAUAGUUUAGGACCAGGACAAUGGAAGAACAAUCCAUUUCCAAUGGAAGAUGACUCCUGGAUGAUCGUGCUGUACGAGCUCUCUGAAAUGCUGAAAGAAGUCCGCAGGUUCAGAUAUGCUGAUUCAGAUUAAAAGACAAUGUUUUGAUCAGUUGGAAGAUUGGGGUCUAGAAACUUGUUUUUCAUUUUGUGGCCAAAACAGGAGUGAUUUCAGGAGGGAUCGGGAUUAGGAGCAUAAGGAAAAUCACAGAGUGAGGACGGAGGUCGAAGCUAUGGAUCUUUUGUCCAUUAGGGGACCAUGCUUCAAAUAUAUCACUAAACUGCAAUGAUAGGAGAAAGCAAAAGCUCAGAAAGAAACUAUCGAUGGCAGACUAAGUGGGAGCUGUUGAAGAUUUGUUUGAAGGUUAGUGUUGAUUUCAAAGUCUACUCCUUAGAAGAUGUUUCUGCAUGGGUAACUUCAUGAUGUUGCUGGGUGGAGUUACAAAAAUGAUUUGGUGCUCUGUGUUGUUACUUCUAUCUUCAAAAUGGUGGUGGAUAUAGUUCUCAGUUGGUGGUAAGAAAGAGGGACCAUUAUGGAGCAUCAUCUCUUGAAUGCCUUUUUUGGUUCCUCUGAAGCAAUCAUGUGGCGUAGGAUAUGGGGUAUCACGUUGAUGGUACAGGAGGAGGGGGAAGAAGCUUGGAAAAGAAAUUGCCUCUCCUUGACAGAAAAAAUGGAGCCCACCAUGUCUGUAGCUUGAAUGUAAUUUACUAAUCUGACAUAAUGCAUCUGUAGCUUGAAUGGAAAAGCUCUUCUCAGCUGUAUAUAUUCCAAGGACCAUCUGAGUUGAUGCCACUUUGAUCAAUGCGACUGUGCAACUUCAGAAGGAACUGUCUGCUCUGCAAUCUGAAUUGGAUCGGAUCCAAUUCUUACUGAAAAUUGCUAAUCCGACAAGAGAAGCUGCUCGGAGGAGGGAUUCAAAAGCCCAGACAUCAAAAUCUAACCAGCCAGAUAUUCCUGUUUCCAACGUCACAAAAAAGGCUUUUAGUGGAGCAAAAGAAAAGCUCUACGCUAGCAAAGCCUGCAAAUGGUUCCUCCCAUAAAGAUAAGAGUCUUACCUUAGAAACAAGGAAACCUCCAGAAGGUGAUAAAGAUGUUAGUGACGGCAUAGAAAGCAAAGUGGCCACAUUCACGGUCACAAAGCCUAUAUGGCUUGGUGCUACAGAGGACAUGUAAGUGAAAGAGAAGCAACAUGUACAUGAUGAAGCGCCACAAAAAAUGUAUGAAUCUGACGACUUUGUUGACAUUUGGAAAAGUGGCAUUUGAUACUAUGGACUGACAACAACAAGAAAAGAUACUUUGAUUUCUAACCAUCAUUCAUUCAUUCCACAAUAAAUAUAGGUCAACGGUUAAGAAGUAGAAAAAAAAAAAAUAGCUCCAUGAUUUAAUGUUGAAGAGAGUAUAUACUGUUUAAUCUUUAUCAUGAACAAAAUAAAGUAAUUUACCUUUUCUAAAUGAUUCUUAAAAUGCCCCCAGCAAUUUAAAAACAUAAAAUGAAUGCCAAGUGAAUCUUAAAAUAGAAGAGAAUAAGUAUAAUUUGAAUUGUAAAUUGUAAGAUUUAAAUUAUAGAAUCGUAGGAUUCAUAUAAAGAGGGAUUCAAGGUGAGAUUCAAAUAGUUUUGCUUAAGAUUCAACUCAAAUCCUAAAUUGCAAA